rnacentral:rRNA from 1 species
GACGAACGCUGGCGGCGGGCUUAACACAUGCAAGUCGAACGGAAAGGCCCUGCUUUUGUGGGGUGCUCGAGUGGCGAACGGGUGAGUAACACGUGAGUAACCUGCCCUUGACUUUGGGAUAACUUCAGGAAACUGGGGCUAAUACCGGAUAGGAGCUCCUGCUGCAUGGUGGGGGUUGGAAAGUUUCGGCGGUUGGGGAUGGACUCGCGGCUUAUCAGCUAGUUGGUGGGGUAGUGGAUUACCAAGGCUUUGACGGGUAGCCGGCCUGAGAGGGUGACCGGCCACAUUGGGAUUGAGGUACGGCCCAGACUCCUACGGGAGACAGCAGUGGCAAGUCUUGCACAAUGGGCCGAAGCCUGAUGCAGCAACGCCGCGUGCGGGAUGACGGCCUUCGGGUUGUAAACCGCUUUCGCCUGUGACGAAGCGUGAGUGACGGUAAUGGGUAAAGAAGCACCGGCUAACUACGUG